rnacentral:lncRNA from 1 species
GACUACAGGCGCCCACCAUCACGCUUGGCUAAUUUUCCAGUUGCUAUGUCAUGAACUGCUCUAUGAAGAAGCCUGUUUGUCAAGGAUCUGAAGCCUCCUGCCAAUAGCUGCAUGAACGAGUUUGGAAGAUCCAGUUCUACCCUUCAGAUGACUGUAGCUUGACGUCAACCUCAUGAGAGACCCUGAGACAGAACCACAAAGCGAAGUCCCUCCUGGAUCCCUGA